rnacentral:rRNA from 1 species
CUCGGAGUUUGAUCCUGGCUCAGGAUGAACGCUAGCGGCAGGCUUAACACAUGCCAGUCGAGGGGUAUAGUUCUUCGGAACUAGAGACCGGCGCACGGGUGCGUAACGCGUAUGCAAUCUACCUUUUACAGAGGGAUAGCCCAGAGAAAUUUGGAUUAAUACCUCAUAGUAUGUGAGAAUCGCAUGGUUUUCACAUUAAACGUUCCAACGGUAAAAGAUGAGCAUGCGUCCCAUUAGCUAGAUGGUAAGGUAA